rnacentral:rRNA from 1 species
AUUGAACGCUGGCGGCAGGCCUAACACAUGCAAGUCGAGCGGAUGAAGGGAGCUUGCUCCUGGAUUCAGCGGCGGACGGGUGAGUAAUGCCUAGGAAUCUGCCUGGUAGUGGGGGACAACGUUUCGAAAGGAACGCUAAUACCGCAUACGUCCUACGGGAGAAAGCAGGGGACCUUCGGGCCUUGCGCUAUACGAUGAGCCUAGGUCGGAUUAGCUAGUUGGUGAGGUAAUGGCUCACCAAGGCGACGAUCCGUAACUGGUCUGAGAGGAUGAUCAGUCACACUGGAACUGAGACACGGUCCAGACUCCUACGGGAGGCAGCAGUGGGGAAUAUUGGACAAUGGGCGAAAGCCUGAUCCAGCCAUGCCGCGUGUGUGAAGAAGGUCUUCGGAUUGUAAAGCACUUUAAGUUGGGAGGAAGGGUUGUAGAUUAAUACUCUGCAAUUUUGACGUUACCGACAGAAUAAGCACCGGCUAACUCUGUGCCAGCAGCCGCGGUAAUAC